UCUUCUAUUGCAAGUUCUAUUUUGACAGGGUCAAGCCAAAUGUUGAAACUGAAAGACCAGUCUCCUAGUCCAGCCUGUACUCUACACAUCAUUGGUCCUGUCAAAACACCUUUAUCAAUUGUUUAUUAGAACUUUUUCUCAGGCAAUUUUGUUUAAUUGAUGAUAGAAAAAUGGAAAAUCGACAUUCGGUGGACCAUGAUGAUUGUGAAAUUAGUGUUCAAGUUUGCAGUUUCUUUGUUUCAUGGCAGUUCUCUCUCUCCCUCCCCCACGUGCACCCCGCCUCUCUUUUCUAAUGCUGUUUAGUUUGUGAUUUUGAUCAUAGUCCCUGGUAGAGACGCUUGCGAGAUUGAAUGGUGCACCAAGAAGAUGCUGGCCUAAACGUCGAGAUGGAAAAACUGGCUUUUGCAAAGGGUAUAUGGAGUUAUGUAUGUGAGAUGGACAAUGCAUUGCGUAAAUACCCUCCUACCCAUCGUAUAUGCACAAACUUGGCUGUGAUUGCUCUCCAGCUAAUUCAAAAGGACUAAUCAACAUGCAGUUGGAUGAAAAAAUUGGCAAUCUGAUUAAAAUUUGGUACAGGUUCAUUAUCCAAUGGAAGCCUUCCAAAGUGUUCCAAUAGCUGAUUCCAAAGUGCAGCUUCUAGAAAUACAUGCAGAAGGCUGAAAUGAGGUGUCUCUUACCACAAGAAGUCUGCUGGAUCAUGGAUUUUUUUCUGGAUCCCCUCUGCAUGAAGAAGACGGGAAUAAGAAAUCAAAUGGCCUAUUUCGCAAUGUCUUUUUUUGUGUUACAAGCUCGUGAGAAGUUUCUAUCAUUGAGGAAAGGUACAAAGUCGGAUGUUGCUGCUGUCUUAGAAGAGGCAUAUUUCAGGACCUCCACAUUGCAAGGUCUUCAUUCGAGCAGGCUCGCUUCAAUCUGGUAUUUACAGCCCUACAAUGUCUGAAUUAUAAACUACUGGUGGUUCACAGAGUUCCACAGAGAUUAACAAUGUGGGUCCCAGAAAGGUGGGCCUGCCUAUAUGGUUGUUAGACGCUUUUGAUACCUAUUCAUCAAGAAAACCUACUAUUUUAUGCUAAGAAAUAAAAAACACUUUAAUUUUA